UGACGGAGUAGUGGUCGUUUGGUGAUGUCGUUGAAGCUUUCUCUCUUUCCAUCUUGGCGGAUCUGAAGGAUCUCUGGUGCGGAGGUUAAUAGGAGGGCUCGAAAGCUCUGGUGGCUCGUUCUCCAACGGAGUGCUCUCCCGGAUUGAGGAUGACUGGGAGACUGACGGUGGCGACUGGUCAGUCAUUGGGGCGGCAGAGGCUCAUCUGAUUGUCAGGGAGUGAGAUGGUGUCAACGGAUCUACGGUGAGGCUCGUCUGCUUAGAAUAAGAAAUGGAAAAGGUCAUCAAAUGGCGAAUACAACGGAGAAGACGAAAAAAAAAGGGCUAGACUGGCUUUUGGACAUCGUGUGUCUGACGUGGCGAAAAAGUGUUUUCUAAUUGGCCGAUUUUUUAAAGUGACGUGGACACACUCUCUACUCUUCAUAUAACCCUUUUAGUAUAGGUUAGAUUUCUGUCCUUUUGUUUGGUACAUUUUCUUGUUUUCUCGCAUUGAAAUAUAUAAACUACUAUUGUUUUUGCCCAAUUAUACAUGCUAAUGUUUAGUCGACAUGGCCAAAAUAUGACCAUAACAUCAUUAAAUAAUAGGUACGAUUGACGUUAAACUAACGGCUUGAAUUAAGCCGAAACAUAAUACGAUCUUAGACAUAAUGCCAAAUACAAACAUGUGCGAUCUAAAUCUAAUCAUACUGCACAUAACCUGUGACGUUCAACUCACGCUUGAGUUUGUUCUCAUGAUACUUAAAGGAGCUAGGGCCAUGCCUGAGGAUGGUUAAUUACAGCCAGGACCGGUCUGGAACAUAGACAAAGAAACCGACCGCUUACGACAUCAUCAUUUUAGUUGUAAAUAAACAAAAUAAAAAUUGUACACGAAUAAUAAAGACACACAAUUUUAAAUGAGCCUAAGACAUUAAGAAAAAAUUAAAAAUGUUGGACUGGUACUGAUUACAGCUUCAAUCCCAAAAACUUUGCUAUACAACCUGUGAUACUGCUAAUCUAACCUAUUAAUUUAGAGUCAUAUUUUUAUCUACAAUUAAUAAGUCAUAGUAGGACCACUUACAGAAUUAGUUAAUAUUUGAUUAUUUACAAUAAUAAUAAUCCAACCAUAAAUUUGAAUUUUUUUUUAAUUAUAACAAAAUCUGUUGAAAAAGAAUCUAACAAAAUCUUACUAAAAAUUUAAAUAUUUUAUAAAAUAAACAUUAAUUAAUUUUGUAAUUAGUAAUAUAAUAUUAUUAUAAAUCAAUGUUAAUUUUUUUUUUAUAAAACAAGAAAAUAAAAAUUCUAUACUAUUUCUUUUAUAAAUUUUAUAAUUAUAUUCUAUAUUAUAUAAAAGUAGAAGUGAUUUAUGCAUUAAAUAUGAAAAUAUAUAUUUAAGAGGUAAAUUAACAAUUUUUUUUUAAAUUGUUUCAUUUAAGUAAAUUAUCACUCAUUAUUAAAAUUAGUUAAAUUUCAUAAAAUAUAAAAUAUAUUUAUACAAAAUAAAUUUGUUAACACAAGUUAAACUUUUAUAUUCUACAACUAUAUAUUCUAUUUUUAUUUAUUUUGAAUCUCUCAACAAUAUAUUGUGUAAAAUGUCUAUAUACAAAAAUAUAAUAGUAUAUAAUAACCUUUAGUUCAUAUACUAUUUUAAAAAUAUGUUAUUAGAAAACUAUGAAAUUUUAAUAACUGAUUAAAAAUAUUAAUAACAAAUCAAAUUUUAAUAUUAAGUUUAUUUUUUAUUUUUAUUACAACAAAAUCCGUUGGAAAAAAGUUAGAUAAUAUUAUCAAAAAUUAAAAUAUUUUUAUAUUAUAAUGUAUUAGUGUAGUAAAAGAUAUUCAAAAUUCAUGUAAUCUUCGAAACUCAAAAAUAGUUGUGUAAUAUUCCAAAGUUUUCUUGAGAAAAUAUAUAAUUUGAAAAAAAAUAUUAAAACUAAAAAUGAUAAUUUUUCAAAUUUUUAAAAGAUAAAAUCAUAGAUAGUAAAUAGUAACUUUUUCAAAUGCACCACGAAAAAAAUAUAUAUGUUAUAAAAAUGAAAGUAAUCUAAUAUUUUGAAAUCUUAAUAAAAAAACUUAAUAUCAUAACAUCCAAAAAUGUAUUCUAUAUGCAUAAAAUUUACUAAAAUAAUAUGAUAGAUGCUACUAUGUAUAAUAUUUACUAAAAUAAUAAGGUUAUAUUAUUUAAACAAAACAAUAUUUUUACUUAGAAAUCUCGUAAAAUACUAAAAUGAUAUAUGUUAAAGUAUAUUUUUAAACACAAUAUGUAAAUAUAAAUUAGCUUAUAUAUAUAUAAAUUUUAAAAUGCAUUAUAUGCAAAAUGUAUAAAUUAAAGAGAAAACAUAAUUUGAAGGAGGUUUUCUAUUUGAUUAUUUCAGAUUGUUAUUUUAUUGUACCUAACUCAAAAUAUAUUAGUAAGUAUUAAAAGUUAACUUAAAAAUAUAUUAGAAAAAUAACUAUAUAUUAAUAAUGUCGAAUAAAAAAUAUAACCAAUAUUAUAGAGUUACACAAUAUAUUAUAUUAAAAUGGAAACUAUAUAUUAAAAAGUUGUAAUAAUAUCAAAUACUUUAUGAAAUGAAAAAAUAUUUGCAGCGGGUCAAAAUAUAGUAGUCAUUAUAUAUCACCAACAAGUCUCAGUUUGACUAUAUAUGAUUUAGAUGAUAAAAUGACCAUUAAAAUUUUCAGAACUACUCUGAUUUUUCGCUUCUUUGUUAUAACUAGCAACUUGUUAUCUAUUUCAAACUGAAUUGUUCCAACCUUUUUUUUUCAAACUCAAUUGGUAAGCAGAAAUUGACUUUAAAAUAUUGGAUCGCACGUGGAUUAGUGUAAGAAAAACACAAAUGUCCCCCUUCACCGGCCAAGCAGGUCAACAUCUCUACCUUCUAAAACGCAACAAUUUUUUUUGUUGAAUAUUAUUUUCUCAUACAAUACACCAAAUAUUUGUUAAUAAACAAAUACCAUAGACCACUACGAAAAGAUCUAGUAAUUGAUAAACUAUUAAACCCAUCUCAACUUUGAGAUAUAUAAAAUGUAUAACUAACUCUUGCAAUUCAAGACAUCAAUCUGCUGGGCUAAACUGUAAGAAUAAGAAUUUAGUUUUUUUUUAAGUAGGCAAAUCAGAAGAAAAAAAAAGCUAAAAAAGGUUCAGCCUGUGAUACGAAGGUUAUAUUCGUCUUUUGGUAUUUCUUUUAUUGGAAAAAAGAGUUUCUGUAAUAAGAAAGCUGUUAUUGUGGCGCUUACUGCUUUAGCUUCGGGAUUUGGUCCAAUCGUCUCUUUUGUACAGAUUGACCCCAAAGACCCCCAGAAGAAGCUCUGACGAAGACCAAGAAGACAGAGAGAAAGAGAGCAGCUUUGAGUUUUGUCCCAACGGUUUGUACACCUCUUACUUCGUUGGUCUGGAUUUGGUUUUCUGGAUCCGGUUCAAGUUCUGUCCGUUCGGUUCGCUUAUUGUGUGUGUGUGUGUGUCUCUGCUCUGUUUGAUUGAAAGCUUUAAACUUUGGAUCUUCGAUUUUUGUAUGCUUUCAUUUUGUCAUUGAUGAUGAUUGAAAUGGAGUUGCUUUUGUGAUUCUAAUAAUCCAAAAUUUUAUUUUUAUUGUUUACAAUGGGCUAUUGUGUUUGUAGAGAUUAUGAGGAGUCUCAUCAUGAACUUUUUAUGUGUAGAGAUUUCAAAAUUUAGAUUAGAGAGAUUAUGAAAGUUUUGAUGAACAUUUUGGAUUCCUUUGAUCAGUCCCCAGAAAGUAAGAUUCUCUCUAAACUUUUUGUUCGGUAAAUUUUGUCAUACUCUGCCUUUUUUUGGAGACGUGGUGAGGAAUCUCUUCUUUAAUCAGAAUUCAAAAAGGAUUGCAAAAUUGUUAUAAAUAAAAAAGACUUUAUGAUUGUAAAUUCUUCUUCUUCUUCCCUUUAACGGCUUUCUUUUUUGAGAAAAACAAAUAGUAGUUUUUGUUUACUCCUCCCUUCAUUCUCUACCUCUCUUUGUGAAAUUGAAUGAGUUCUUUGGUUCUUUCAAGUGGGACCAAGAACUAGAUGCGUGUCUUAGUUUUCUUAUCUGACAGAGAUUUGAGCAAGUAUUUGCUUUUGUGACCAUAUCUACAUGUUUUCCUCAUUAGUAUUUUUAUUCAUGAAAAGUUUGUUUAAUUUCCUUUUCUUUUGAUUCUGAUUCUAGAUUCACACAUCGUGGCCUGGAACCUGAUUCUCGCAUCUGCUUCUUUCUCCACGAAGUGUAUAGUAGCUGAGACCACAUUUCUAUAAUUCAUGUUUUGUUUGAAAGUAGCAUUCUCCUUGAAGCUGCUCUGAGCGUUUGUGAUGCACUAAAGAUAGUGGACGAGAGUAUCGACAGUGCAAGGAUUUAUCGAUUUCUAUACAGUUUCUUGUUACCUAAGCUUCCGCUCUCUCAAUCAGUUUGUGUGCUUUAGAUUCAUUACAUGUCUUCCCUUGAAGUGGGAGGAGGAGGACCAGUUGCAUUCGCAGAAAGAACCAAAUCCGUUGAUGCACUCACCAAGAAAGAGAUCCUCUCCGCUCUAACCAACGGAGAGAUCACCUCCGACCCUUCCGAGGACGCUAGGUUCAGAAACAGGGAGCUCUCCCUCCCCAACGGCGAGUCCUACGACGGCACUCUCCUGGGAAACGUCCCCGAGGGCUCAGGGAAGUACCUGUGGUCAGACGGCAGCGUUUACGUCGGCGAAUGGAGACGCGGGAUGAGACACGGCAACGGGAAGAUGAGAUGGGCUUCGGGCGCGUGCUACGAAGGCGAGUUCUCAGGAGGCUACAUGCACGGCACGGGGACGUACACGGACGCUAAUAACCUAACGUAUAAAGGAAGGUGGCGGCUGAAUCUCAAACACGGGCUUGGGUACCAAGUUUACCCUAACGGUGACGUCUUCGAAGGCUCUUGGAUUCAGGGUUGGGGAGAAGGGCCAGGGAAGUACACUUGGGGUAACGGGAACAUCUAUCUUGGGGAUAUGAAAGGUGGGAAGAUGUCUGGGAAAGGGACGUUGACUUGGAUCACAGGGGACUCGUACGAAGGAAGCUGGUUGAAUGGGAUGAUGCAUGGUUUCGGUGUGUACACGUGGAGGGACGGUGGUUGCUACGUAGGGACGUGGACGCGUGGUUUGAAAGAUGGGAAAGGAUCGUUUUACUCGGCGGGGACUAGAGUUCCCGCCGUGCAGGAGUUUUAUCUCAACGCUCUUAGGAAGAGAGGCGUGUUGCCUGAUCUGAGGAGGCAGAGCCAAGUUGCUGCAGCUUCUUCGGUUAAUAUGGAGAGUCUUAGAGUAGGUGGUGGUGGCAACAACAAGCUCUCGAAAGGGAGUUUGAUUAACUUGGAGCAGUCACGCAACGGGAGGGUUUCUUUGGAGAGGCGGUGGAGUCUUGAAGUGAGUAUUGAGAAAGUGAUUGGGCAUGAUUACUCGGAUUUGGAUAGGGGAAGCAGUACUGAGGAGUAUAGUGCGAACAGACCGAUCUUGGAACGGGAGUAUAUGCAAGGUGUUCUGAUCAGUGAGCGUGUGGUGGUAGACAACAGGUUUUCGCCUACUUCGAAAAGAGCUAAGAGGAAAAACAAGAGGCUUUUUAAAGAAGCUAAGAAGCCUGGGGAAGUUGUUAUUAAAGGUCACAGGAGUUAUGAUUUGAUGCUUAGUUUGCAGCUUGGAAUCAGGUAUAUGCUUUGCUCCUUCUAGUCCUGUAUCCUGGGGCUGAGAUUUUGAACCGAACCCGCCGAACCGACCAAAUUUUUUUUUGCUUAGGAGUUCGGUUUGAUUUGGUAGUUUUUUUUUUUAAAGUUCAGUUUUCGGUUCGGUUCGGAAAUUGGUUACUUCAGUUUUUUUUUUAAAAGAAACUAUAACUAAACAAUUCCAAAAAACCCAAACUGAACUAACCAAAUUUCAAAUCAAGCUAACCGAAUUUAUUCAAAAUUUUAACAAAACUAAACCAAAAUAUAAUCAAAAUAAAAAAAAAUUGGGAUGCCGGAUGCCGAAUACCUUACCGAACUGAAUUUUAUUUCGGGUUAAUUCAAUAAGAUUUAUGUUGAACCGAACUAACCGGAAACCGAACUACCUGAACCGAAUGUCCUGUGAGAUAAUCUGUUUUUGUGAGAUAAGCUUAGCCUAGUAUUGUGUUAAUGAACUGGUUCAAACGUUUAGAUACACAGUGGGGAAAAUAACGCCCAUACAAAGAAGAGAAGUAAGGACAGCAGACUUUGGACCUCGGGCUAGCUUUUGGAUGAGUUUUCCUCGAGCUGGCUCCGCGAUGACACCUCCUCACCACUCUGAAGAUUUUAAAUGGAAGGACUAUUGCCCUAUGGUGUUCAGGUUAGUAUUUAUGGAUACUCCAAAAGCUUUGUCUUAUUGGUGUUUUACAUACAUUCUAAACCUUGUAGGAACCUGAGGGAGAUGUUCAAGAUGGAUGCAGCUGAUUACAUGAUGUCCAUUUGUGGAAAUGAUACCUUAAGGGAACUUUCUUCUCCAGGGAAGAGUGGGAGUGUCUUCUUCUUGUCUCAGGAUGAUAGGUUCAUGAUUAAAACACUCAGGAAAUCUGAAGUCAAGGUCUGUCACCACUUAUGCAGUUGUGUAGUGCUGGUUAGAGCUUGUGUGUGAUCAAUGGAGUAUAAUCAAAUCCUUCAUGUGUAGGUUCUCCUGAGGAUGCUUCCAUAUUACCAUCAUCAUGUAAAGACAUAUGAGAACACCCUCAUUACUAAAUUCUUUGGCCUUCACAGAAUAAAACCAUCAAGUGGUCAAAAGGUCCUUAUGCAUCCCUCUUGUACUAUAUCAUUAGCUUUGAGAUUGAUACUAACUUCAAAUAUCUCUCUCUUGCAUUGCAGUUCCGCUUUGUGGUGAUGGGUAACAUGUUCUUUACAGAUCUAAGAAUCCAUAGGAGAUUUGACCUUAAAGGUUCGAGGUUAUGUGAAGAGAGAGAGUGAUGAAAGAUAAAAAAAAGAGACUGGAUUUGAAAAUCCCAGACUGCAUUGGAGGGCUCUGCACAACUUGAAUUGUAUUUCCAAUCAUAACCAACUGCUUUCAUGGUAAACAAACAAUACAUUAAAAACUCUUCAAAUUUAUGUGAGAGCAUAACACUGUAUUCAGAGAAACAUUGAAGAAGUUAGUUACCCCAUACAUUGUCCCAACCACUGCAAUGCCUCUAGGGAUCUCUAUGUAGUUCUGGUUUCCAUGUAGGGUAAAAGGAGUCCGUCAGACCCUUUUGGCUGCAUCUUCAUCUUCCAAUACAAAUCUGGCUAAUUGUCUAAAUAACAUGUCUCAGCUAUCACAUAGCUGAGAUAAAAAAAUAUUUUGAAUGGAUAAUGAAACUAUUAGAGGAUGCAGUAGAAGUUAAGUUGCUAGAAUAAAAAAAAAAAGAAGGGACCUGAAGAAGUGCAGAGAUGAACAUAUGAAAAGCAUAGUGUUUGGUUGAUUACAAACUCAAAAAUCAGCAGCAACACACGGCAUGUGCAUCUGACACGAAACAAAAUCUUAACACUUAACGUUUUUCAACAAAAUGAGAAAGGAAGGGUGAACGAUACCUGCAAGUUUCUUUGAUUUCAUUAACAAAAUAAGCAAGGAGUGAUGAACGAUACCUUCUGAGAAAUGAUUUCCAAAGACUGGUCGAGUGGAGUUUGCUCGAAAUACUCCUGCUCUGCUGAGAUCUAUUGAAUCUGAGUUUUUGUUGUGCUCAUUCAGUAGAUCUUAAUUUCUGGCAUAGCUUGUUAGGGUUUCCAUGGCUUGCAUCUGGAUUAUAUAAAGAUACAAAGAGGAGUCGAAGAGGAUUCAUGAUAUCAAUAAUGGGAGAAGUUAAAAAAACGCCUUUGAGUGGCAAGUAAACUCAUGCUCUCUAGCUCUCUCCUCUUGUGCGGUGCUGUCUAGGGUUUUGGAGGUGGCAAGAUCUAUGGCUCACGCCGGAAAGCUUCGUCGCCUCCUCCCCUUCGGAUUAUGAACAACGUGACGGAGUAGUGGUCGUUUGGUGAUGUCGUUGAAGCUUUCUCUCUUUCCAUCUUGGCGGAUCUGAAGGAUCUCUGGUGCGGAGGUUAAUAGGAGGGCUCGAAAGCUCUGGUGGCUCGUUCUCCAACGGAGUGCUCUCCCGGAUUGAGGAUGACUGGGAGACUGACGGUGGCGACUGGUCAGUCAUUGGGGCGGCAGAGGCUCAUCUGAUUGUCAGGGAGU
rnacentral:lncRNA from 1 species